rnacentral:lncRNA from 1 species
GGUUCAGAUGAAGGAAGGGCUGAAACAAGGCACAAACUUUUAAAUGGGGUAAAUAAAUAUGAGCAAUCCGUGAGAAUAGCAAACCCCUAUCUCUUAUAAAGAAGAAGAUAGAUAGGUCCGCGAGUUGAGACAGAGAAGUUAUGACUAAUCAAGUAGGAGUUUACCCACGAGAGUCAGAGGCUGCCUCAUCAAAGGGGUAUAGAAAUAAUUCAGAAGCACUAUGGCCCGAAGCGAAGGGCAGGAACGAACGGAAUCAAUGUGUUCCA